rnacentral:rRNA from 1 species
GAAGCUUGCUUCUCUUGAGAGCGGCGGACGGGUGAGUAAUGCCUAGGAAUCUGCCUGGUAGUGGGGGAUAACGUCCGGAAACGGACGCUAAUACCGCAUACGUCCUACGGGAGAAAGCAGGGGACCUUCGGGCCUUGCGCUAUCAGAUGAGCCUAGGUCGGAUUAGCUAGUUGGUGGGGUAAUGGCUCACCAAGGCGACGAUCCGUAACUGGUCUGAGAGGAUGAUCAGUCACACUGGAACUGAGACACGGUCCAGACUCCUACGGGAGGCAGCAGUGGGGAAUAUUGGACAAUGGGCGAAAGCCUGAUCCAGCCAUGCCGCGUGUGUGAAGAAGGUCUUCGGAUUGUAAAGCACUUUAAGUUGGGAGGAAGGGCCAUUACCUAAUACGUGAUGGUUUUGACGUUACCGACAGAAUAAGCACCGGCUAACUCUGUGCCAGCAGCCGCGGUAAUACAGAGGGUGCAAGCGUUAAUCGGAAUUACUGGGCGUAAAGCGCGCGUAGGUGGUUUGUUAAGUUGGAUGUGAAAUCCCCGGGCUCAACCUGGGAACUGCAUUCAAAACUGACUGACUAGAGUAUGGUAGAGGGUGGUGGAAUUUCCUGUGUAGCGGUGAAAUGCGUAGAUAUAGGAAGGAACACCAGUGGCGAAGGCGACCACCUGGACUGAUACUGACACUGAGGUGCGAA